rfam:Ictidomys tridecemlineatus contig016345, whole genome shotgun sequence.
GGGCAUAUAGCUCAGUUGGUAGAGUGCUUGCCUUGCAUGAACAAAGCCUUGGGUUCAAUCCCUAGCAUCCCCC